CCUACGGGAGGCAGCAGUGAGGAAUAUUGGUCAAUGGACGAGAGUCUGAACCAGCCAAGUAGCGUGAAGGAUGACUGCCCUAUGGGUUGUAAACUUCUUUUAUAUGGGAAUAAAAUGUUCCACGUGUGGGAUUUUGUAUGUACCAUAUUAAUAAGGAUCGGCUAACUCCGUGCCAGCAGCCGCGGUAAUACGGAGGAUCCGAGCGUUAUCCGGAUUUAUUGGGUUUAAAGGGAGCGUAGGUGGAUUGUUAAGUCAGUUGUGAAAGUUUGCGGCUCAACCGUAAAAUUGCAGUUGAUACUGGCAGUCUUGAGUACAGUAGAGGUGGGCGGAAUUCGUGGUGUAGCGGUGAAAUGCUUAGAUAUCACGAAGAACUCCGAUUGCGAAGGCAGUUCACUGAACUGCAACUGACACUGAGGCUCGAAAGUGUGGGUAUCAAACAGGAUUAGAUACCCUUGUAGUC
rnacentral:rRNA from 1 species